rnacentral:rRNA from 1 species
CACUUUAGGCAGGGAAGAAGAUAUGUAGUUUAAGAGAUAGCAUAUUUGACGGUACCUGCAGAAUAAGCACCGGCUAACUCUGUGC